GGACUUUAUGUCCUCUAAAGAGCCGUUGAAGACUACGACGUUGAUAGGUUGGAUGUGGAAGCAUAGUGAUAUGUGAAGCUGACCAAUACUAAUUGCUCGUGAGGCUUGACUAUACAACACCCAAACAGUUGG
rnacentral:rRNA from 1 species